rnacentral:rRNA from 1 species
GUCAGCAGCCGCGGUAACACCGGCGGCCCGAGUGGUGAUCGUGAUUAUUGGGUCUAAAGGGUCCGUAGCCGGUUUGGUCAGUCCUCCGGGAAAUCUGAUAGCUCAACUAUUAGGCUUUCGGGGGAUACUGCCAGACUUGGAACCGGGAGAGGUAAGAGGUACUACAGGGGUAGGAGUGAAAUCUUGUAAUCCCUGUGGGACCACCUGUGGCGAAGGCGUCUUACCAGAACGGGUUCGACGGUGAGGGACGAAAGCUGGGGGCACGAACCGGAUUAGAUACCCGGGUAGUCCCAGCCGUAAACGAUGCUCGCUAGGUGUCAGGCAUGGCGCGACCGUGUCUGGUGCCGCAGGGAAGCCGUGAAGCGAGCCACCUAGGAAGUACGGCCGCAAGGCUGAAACUUAAAGGAAUUGGCGGGGGAGCACAACAACGGGUGGAAGCCUGCGGUUUAAUUGGACUCAACGCCGGACAACUCACCGGGGGCGACAGCAAUAUGUAGGCCAAGCUGAAGACUUUGCCUGAAUCGCUGAGGGGUGGUGCAUGG